rnacentral:rRNA from 1 species
UCGGCAAUGGGCGAAAGCCUGACCGAGCGACGCCGCGUGUGGGAUGAAGGCCCUCGGGUUGUAAACCACUGUCAACGGGGAGGAAAUACAGAAGGGCUAUCCCUUUUGUUUGACCUAUCUGUGGAGGAAGUACGGGCUAAGUUCGUGCCAGCAGCCGCGGUAAGACGAACCGUACAAACGUUAUUCGGAAUUACUGGGCUUAAAGGGUGCGUAGGCGGCGCGGACAGUUGGGUGUGAAAGCCCUCGGCUCAACCGAGGAAUUGCGCUCAAAACUACCGUGCUCGAGGGAGACAGAGGUAAGCGGAACUCAAGGUGGAGCGGUGAAAUGCGUUGAUAUCUUGAGGAACACCGGUGGCGAAGGCGGCUUACUGGGUCUUUUCUGACGCUGAGGCACGAAAGCCAAGGUAGCAAACGGGAUUAGAUACCCCGGUAGUCCUAGCUGUAAACGAUGGGCACUAACUUGGGGUCUCCCUGUGUGAUCCCAGGUGUAGCAAAAGUGAUAAGUGCCCCGCCUGGGGAGUAUGGUCGCAAGGCUGAAACUCAAAGGA